rnacentral:rRNA from 1 species
UACGUAGGGCGCAAGCGUUAUCCGGAAUUAUUGGGCGUAAAGAGCUCGUAGGCGGUUUGUCGCGUCUGCCGUGAAAGUCCGGGGCUCAACUCCGGAUCUGCGGUGGGUACGGGCAGACUAGAGUGAUGUAGGGGAGACUGGAAUUCCUGGUGUAGCGGUGAAAUGCGCAGAUAUCAGGAGGAACACCGAUGGCGAAGGCGGGUCUCUGGGCCGAUACUGACGCUGAGGAGCGAAAGCGUGGGGAGCGAACAGGAUUAGAACCUACCGAGUC